rnacentral:tRNA from 1 species
GAUUCAGUGGCCGAGUGGAUAACGCGAUGGCGUUUAAAACGAGGGUACUGGGUUCAAGUCCCAGAGUGAAC